rnacentral:lncRNA from 1 species
GUAAUAAUUUAAAUCAGUAAUUUAAAUCGCCAAGAGCUGCACAGGCAGCCAUCAGCAGUGGGGUGAGAGGGUAACUCAUCUACUGCAUUAUGAUGCCUAUGGAUUUUGUUAUCUGGGUGUGAUACUUCCAGCUCUGGACUGAGAUACAAUACAUGCUUGUUUAUCAUAUGACUUAUCUUGCAAAAUAUUGCAUAAAUUCUCUGUUUUGACAAACACCUUGUAGCCAAGAAAGAUGUGCUCAGUGUGUACAAUUGGUUUGCUUUUCUAUUUACAUGCAAAGUAAGUACAUGAUUUCUGUAUUUUGACUUUAUUUCCCUUAAAAUGUAAGUUGAUGAUUAUAUCAGAUACUUAUCCUGAAAAGGUGGAAAAAUAAAUAAUUGUGCCCCAUCUAUAAAAUUCUUCAUAGACUACCUUUGUUUUUCAGAAGUACUUCCACAGUACUGAUUAAUUGCUUGUCUCCCUGAGCCAUAAUGUCAUAAAAGUUCUUAGGGAGGUGUCAAAGGUAUUCUGCAUGAUACAGUAGUGUUCAGAAACUCCAUCCCGUUCCAUCUUCUAGACAGUACAGCAAUGCAGGCAUUUUCUCCUUGGGAGAUUUGGGCUUGUUCUGGAAGCACCCCAGUAUACCACACGUGUUCAAAAGCAUCUGCUAAAAUGUAGACUGACCGAAAUAUGGAAUAAACAUUUUGUUCAAUGGUGAAUAUGUUCUUAAGGCAGUGAUAAAGUUUCUUUCUUUGUCAAGGAUGGCCAUCAUGUGGCAUAUUCUCAGAAUGUAGCAUAGAUCAGAUUAUGACACCAUUUCACUUGCAGGUGCAAAAGAAGAUUGGUGGAAGGAAAUCUUCAGUUAAUCCUCAUCAUGUUCUAGUCUCAGGCAGGAUUCUGACUUAUCUGUCACUCUCUUCCUCUAUGCAUCAGUAGUCUUGUUAUUUGUCAGUUGUUCUCUGUCUGCCAUGUCAUCUUGAGGGGGUCUAGCUCUGUCAAAGAAGCCGCACUUCCAUAAAGCAAGGGUCAACACCGCUAGUACCAGUAGACCAAGCAUUAUUGCUAGUAUUAUAACCCACAAAGGGAUGACAAAGGAGACAUUUGGAGUGGACCAAAUGACUGAUGUUCUGAUUGCUAUGCUUCCCUCGGGGAGCUUCGCUGGCUGCACUUUAUAGGGCAUGUUCUUAACUUUGAAGGACACAUUGGAAGAAAGAGUAUAGGGAUCAUUUUUCCUCUGCAGGAAAGUUUCAGCCCAUAGCCGGGACCUGAUUUUCAGUGCUGCGCUCUUCCCUCUUUCCAGUUGUCCCACAUUGCAGGAAAUUAGGAUACA